rnacentral:rRNA from 1 species
AUUGAACGCUGGCGGCAGGCCUAACACAUGCAAGUCGAACGAGUGGCGGACGGGUGAGUAAUGUAUGGGAAACUGCCUGAUGGAGGGGGAUAACUACUGGAAACGGUAGCUAAUACCGCAUACCAUCAGAUGUGCCCAGAUGGGAUUAGCUAGUUGGGGGGGUAACGGCUCACCAAGGCGACGAUCCCUAGCUGGUCUGCGAGGAUGACCAGCCACACUGAAAAUGAGACACGGCCCAGACUCCUACGGGAGGCAGCAGUGGGGAAUAUUGCACAAUGGGAGCAAGACUGAUGCAGCCAUGCCGCGUGUAUGAAGAAGGCCUUCGGGUUGUAAAGUACUUGCAGCGGGGAGGCGUUACCCGCAGAAGAAGCACCGGCUAAGUCCGUGCCAGCAGCCGCGGUGAUAC